GUUCAGUCCAGACCAAAAGAGCCAUAGUGCCAAACGGAGGAGUCCAAGAUGAAAUCAACAGGAGCUAUUUUCCUCUUAUUGACAAUCACCAUUCUUCAAGUGGUUUUCUUCGGGUGCGCUUCUAGCCAAAAUGUCACCACUGCGAGUUUGACUCCUGCAGCCUCUGGUUCCACUCUUUCCGUCACUACAUCCGUUACUACAGGGAACGGCACAGGUGGUAGAGGAGGCGGGGCUGAUGCUGUAUCUAUGAGCUAUUUCGUGUUUGCUUUGACUCUGCUUGGUGCAUAUUUCAUGCAGUUUAUGGAACAUUAACUGAAUUUUAAUUUGUGUGAUGGCCUAUGAUCUUCCAAGGGAGGCAAAUCCAGCAUAAUGCGUUUUGCGUGACAGGAUUGUUAGUUUUAUAUAGUUAUUUAUUUUUUAAGGAUGCAAAUAUGUAUAUUGAUUGCAGAUAAUUAAUUAUUAAUUUAAAUGUAAAUGUAUUUUUUUCUUCUAUACUCAUAAUUACAAAUGAAAAUUAAAAUUUACGAUUACCGGU
rnacentral:sRNA from 1 species